UGAUUUUCCUCUUACUUAAUGUAAGAAGGAAAAAAAUACAAAAUAUUAUUCAAUAUUGUGUAACACAAUCUCGGUUACCUUACAUCAAUAAAAAGGUGCAGUUGGUAGUCAAACUUUCAUACAAAGAUAACUAUUUUAGUUAUUGUGGGUAACCAAAUAGUCAUAAAAUUAUGAACAGUAAACCAAAUGUUACAUGUAUUUGUUUUCAAAAUUAUGCUUGUGAGACGAUUCUUCUCCUUCUUCUCAUUGACGUUUUGAAUAUGAAACACAUUCAGAAUGGGCGCAUGAGACCUCCCACAGUCCCACUAAACUGGAACACAUUCAAAUUCAAUCACUAGCUUAGGAUACUCGUAUGCCAAAGGCAUACGAGUCAUUAUCAGACUGUUUUUGAGAUUUUUAGAAUAAAAAACAAUGCACAAACGAUAAUCAGAAGUUAAUCCAAACUUCAUUAUUUCAUUAUUGAACACAAAGACUUCGUAGCUCCAGUGGUGGUGCAUACCUAGUUUAAGGAAAUUGCUGUGCAGAGGUCUCAAACUUGUGAAGAAAAACAUUCAGUAUACAACAUUGAAAUCGUCAUCAUACAAAACAAGAGCAUGAAUGAAAAACCAAACGACAGACCACCACCGUAGGAAUUAGGAAACACUUUCCAGUAAUAUCAAUUUUUAUUAAUAUCCAACUAUUGGAAACAAAAGCUUGUCAAGCUUUAAGGGAUGCCCCAACUUUAACAAGUUCUUCGAGAGCCUUUGAGAUGAAGAGAAUGGGCGGAUGAGAGAUGUAUAGUUCUUCUGGAGCUCCGUGGCGGGGGAGAAGGAUGAAGGGGAGGAGAGAGGAGACAAUGAGGGAGAUGAAAAGAAUGGGCGGAUGAGAGAUCUAGGAUUUAAUGUGUUUGGUUAUUGUGUUGCACUUUUUUUGUAAUUAUUUUGUAAAUGUAUUAAUCUUGUAAUUAUUUUUUAAUUGUUGUAUAGUAAUGUAAAGAACCCAUCAUUAAAAUAAUUAACCAACUCAUUUAGUUCUAAUUAAUAUGAGUUGACCAAAUAAUUAACCAACUAUAUUAUCAGAUCUAAUCAUUUUCAUUAUAUUUUCAUAAUGACUACCUUCUGCUUAAUCUCACCUUAUUUGGGUUUGUUUUUCUCAUUCCCCAAGCCCUAUCCAAUAAGUGACUCCUUAUAGGUUCAUUGAAAAGAAACUAAACGACUCUUAAUGGGCCAUAAUACCUUUAGAGACUAAACGACUCUUGAUGAGCCACAUGGUGCUCACAUAUAUUUCUGCAUGGUUCUAACUUCUAACCUUCAUGGAACUUUCUCAAUUAAAAUUUAUAAACUUAUUUUACGAAAAAUAAUUCACUCGUUUCACAAAAUGAGUCCCCAUUUAAUUUCUCAUAUUUUAUUAUCAAAACAAAUUUUAUUUCUUUAAAUAGUAAUAUAAAACGACAUAGUAUAUCCUCAAGUAAGUCAUCAUUUUAUUACUACGAGAGACUCGAAUCAAGUUAAUCAAACUAUCACAAUGUUCGCAAAUGAUAAUCUUUUAAUAGAACCGACAGAAUACUAAUAAGGGUCUUCGAAAUGACGAAGUCUGGCUUUUUGCAGGGUAUACUUUAUACGUAUAUACCAAUAAUUUCUCGAGUUGCAACUAAUCACAUUUAAGAAGUUAUUAAACUUUAAAUUUGCAAGUGAGUUUUAAAGCAUAAGAGUGACUAACAUGAAGAACAAGCAGCUAAACAAAUUUCAGCACAACAACUUCCAAAGCAUUCACACAAGGAGCUUAACCAAGAGCAACCAUCAUCGGCACAACAACAACAUUCGCAGCAGCAAGCAGUGACACAUGCGCCAACCGACUCGCCUAUACAAAUGUUACAACUGCAAAUGUAUAUUUUUUUUAAAGAAAAAACUAAAAGGAAUCUUAGUGAAAAUAAUUAGAUGAAAAAUAAAUACAUAUAUACCAAUAAAUUCUUGAGUUGACGUGUUCAGUUUUUUCCACUGACAUUUGUUGCAUUACUGGCGCCGCCAUUGUUUUGUUCAAAGUGUCAAAUUCGUGAAUUCAGAGCCAGAGCCACUCUAAAAUAUCAAAACUUAAAAGUGAAUAUAGUAAUAAAUAAAUUUACAUAAUUAUAAAGUUAGAUGUUAAUUUUUUGAUAUAUUAUUCUCUAUUCUACAAAAUGGUCUUAUUUGUCAAUGUUUUUGUUUCAAAUCGACACUGGCUGAUCUAUUUAAAGGGCAGAAUAGGCCGUGCUUAUGUUGAACUUUUUUUUAUAUAUGUAUAGGAAUAGGGGCAAAAAUAAAAUUUAAUAAACUUAAGGGACAGAUUUAUGAAAAAGUUAAAUUUAACGGGUAAAAAAAUAUUUUAAACUACUACUAUAAAAAAAACUCAACCCACGGUAUAUAAUUUAUUCAAACUUUUCUCUCUAAUCUUCAACUUUUUACUUCAGUUUUCAGCCCAAAAAAAUCUGCCUCGGCUGGAAACAGAUCCUAGAUCUAGACCUAGACCCUGCAAACAUUAUUCAAAUUUUGAUUUUAAGCGUAAACAUAGAACAAAAAUAUACACUUUAUAUAUAUAAAUUGUAUAAAUGAGAUUGCUUUUGCAAAACGAAAAACUAUUUAUUAAAACUUGAAAGUAUAAUAUAACCUCUAAAAGACGAUGUGAAUCUUAACUGGAGCAAAGAAACAAAGUUGCUCUGUCUCGGUUAGUAGGAAGCCUAAAAAUCACCACUUCUGCUGCCGGAGCGGCGAGAACUCGCAGGAAUCUGACUUGAAACGCCGGAAACUGACUAUAACGCCAGAAUCUUACCCUAAACUCGACCUUUUCUUUUCUUUCCGAUUACCCAAAUCGGAAUUUCAUCCACAUAGUCCUUAUCUUUCAUCUACAAUCCCAUUUUCCCAUCUUUUCUUACUGAACUUUAGCACAUAUGAACUACUUUAUUGGAUUUAAUUGAAUUUCAUUUGGGAGUAGCAGACUCGUGUAGUGAUAAAGAUGAGACCUACUCAUUUAAUAUGGAUAACAAAAGCAUUCAACGUGUAAUAUUUAAUAUUUUGCCAGCAG
rnacentral:lncRNA from 1 species